rnacentral:rRNA from 1 species
CAGCAGCCACGGGAAUACGUAGGUGGCAAGCGUUGUCCGGAAUUAUUGGGCGUAAAGGGCUCGCAGGCGGCUUCUUAAGUCUGAUGUGAAAGCCCCCGGCUCAACCGGGGAGGGUCAUCGGAAACUGGGAAACUUGAGUGCAGAAGAGGAGAGUGGAAUUCCACGUGUAGCGGUGAAAUGCGUAGAGAUGUGGAGGAACACCAGUGGCGAAGGCGACUCUCUGGUCUGUAACUGACGCUGAGGAGCGAAAGCGUGGGGAGCGAACAGGAUUAGAUACCCCAGUAGUCCCUGUCUCUUAUAU